rnacentral:lncRNA from 1 species
UUUUUUUUUUUUUUUCUUUACUUUAUGAAAACCCCAAACAAAUGAUUCUUCUUAAUUGUGAAACUGAUUGCAUCUAAAAUUAUGAUAUUUUGAAUUCAAUAAACUCGUGCAUAUUUCUGAUUAAAAUGUACUCCAUAAACCUUAAAAAAAAUUCGGUAUAGAGACGUCGUAUGUUUGGGUGUCGUUCGUUAUUAUUGAGCUUCUGUUAGAGAUGAUUUGAGACACCGUCAACCGACGACGCUAAGAACAAAUCUAGUGAUGGUUAAGCAUCUUUGUCUCUCAAUUCAUUUAUCGUUAUAGUCUCACCUAUGUCAUCGCCAAUAUAAUUUCUAUCCCGUUCACUAUCACCACCUUCUCUUCAACCGCAAUAUAUUCUUCAUUCACAUCACCAUCACCUCCUCCGCCACUAACAUACAAUUCAACACAACCACUACAAUGUUAAAUUUACUUCACUCACCUAUCACAACCACUACAAUGUU